rnacentral:rRNA from 1 species
UUCUGCCCUAUGAUUAAUUAAAUGGCUGCAGUAUUUUGCCUGUGCAAAGGUAGCAUAAUAAUUAGUCUUUUAAUUGAAGGCUUGAAUGAAUGAAUAAAUGAGAAAUUUGUUUUAUUUUUAAUAUUUUUAUAAUUUAAUUUUUAUGUAAAAAAGCUUAAUUAUUUUUUUGGGACGAUAAGACCUUAUAGAAUUUUAUUCUUAUUUUUAUUAAUUUUAUUUUGGUUAUUAUUAAUUAUAUUAUUAUAUUUAAUUUUUUGGUUGGGGUGACAAAUAAAUUUUAACUUUAUUUUUAAAAUUCAUUAUAUUUAUGUUUAUGUUGAUCCUUAUUUUGAUUAAAAGAUUAAAUUACCUUAGGGAUAACAGCGUAAUUUUAAUGGGGAGUUCAUAUUUAUAUUAAAGUUUGCGACCUCGAUGUUGAAUUAAGAUAAGAUUGGGGGGCAG